UACCAGCACCCCGAGUGGUCGGGACGUUUUAUUGGGCCUAAGCAUCCGUAGCCGGUUCUACAAGUCUUCCGUUAAAUCCAGCUGCUUAAACAGAUGGGCUGCGGAAGAUACUAUGGAGCUAGGAGGCGGGAGAGGCAAGCGGUGACUCGAUGGGUAGGGGUAAAAUCCGUUGAUCCAUUGAAGACCACCAGUGGCGAAGGCGGCUUGCCAGAACGCGCUCGACGGUGAGGGAUGAAAGCUGGGGGGAGCAAACCGG
rnacentral:rRNA from 1 species